rnacentral:rRNA from 1 species
UACGUAGGGUGCGAGCGUUAAUCGGAAUUACUGGGCGUAAAGCGUGCGCAGGCGGUUCGUUAAGUCAGCUGUGAAAGCCCCGGGCUUAACCUGGGAAUGGCGGUUGAAACUGGCGAACUUGAAUCUGGCAGAGGGGGGUGGAAUUCCACGUGUAGCAGUGAAAAUGCGUAGAGAUGUGGAGGAACACCAGUGGCGAAGGCGGCCGACUGGACGAAAUACUGACGCUGAGACACGAAAGCGUGGGGGAGCAAACAGG